UACGUAGGGUGCAAGCGUUGUCCGGAAUUAUUGGGCGUAAAGAGCUCGUAGGCGGCCUGCUAAGUCGAACGUGAAAUCCCUGGGCUCAACCCAGGAACUGCGUCCGAUACUGGUUGGCUUGAAUCCGGGAGAGGGACGUGGAAUUCCAGGUGUAGCGGUGAAAUGCGUAGAUAUCUGGAGGAACACCGGUGGCGAAGGCGACGUCCUGGACCGGCAUUGACGCUGAGGCGCGAAAGCCAGGGGAGCAAACGGG
rnacentral:rRNA from 1 species